GACGAACGCUGGCGGCGUGCUUAACACAUGCAAGUCGAACGGAAAGGCCCUGCUUUUGUGGGGUGCUCGAGUGGCGAACGGGCGAGUAACACGUGAGUAACCUGCCCUUGACUUUGGGAUAACUUCAGGAAACUGGGGCUAAUACCGGAUAGGAGCUCCUGCUGCAUGGUGGGGGUUGGAAAGUUUCGGCGGUUGGGGAUGGACUCGCGGCUUAUCAGCUUGUUGGUGGGGUAGUGGCUUACCAAGGCUUUGACGGGUAGCCGACCUGAGAGGGUGACCGGCCACAUUGGGACUGAGAUACGGCCCAGACUCCUACGGGAGGCAGCAGUGGGGAAUAUUGCACAAUGGGCGGAAGCCUGAUGCAGCAACGCCGCGUGCGGGAUGACGGCCUUCGGGUUGUAAACCGCUUUCGCCUGUGACGAAGCGUGGGUGACGGUAAUGGGUAAAGAAGCACCGGCUAACUACGUG
rnacentral:rRNA from 1 species